UGCCGCGGUGGCGCAGUUUACGCUUUUCGUUGAUUGGAAUUCGUGUGACCUGUCGCAACAGACCGAACAGACCAACGGAAAGCCGGUUGUUACUUUUGUUACAUGCCAUUACAUGCGAUAAUAUGCGGCGUAGCUUUUCUCUCGAUACCUUUGCCGAUGCCGCCGUGUUGUAUCUCCUGAAAGAAAGGCUAACUGAGUAAAGGAAUCGUUUUCCUGAUCGCCGACAUGGAGCUCACCGACGACAAUUUGGUAACGUUGAGCGAAUAUCAGAAACACACACUCUCAGCCCAGACGUGAAUGUCAAACGUCCAGCCGAGAAAGUUUCUGGAGUCGGUGGAAGUCAAUCAGAAUUAUCCUUUACUACUACUUCAUUUGGUGGACAAAUCUGAGAUUAACAUCACGAUUAGGAUUGCCGGCGCAAUUUAAAAGAAUUAUGUUAAGCGCAACUGGAAAGUGGAGGAGGAUUCAGUGGAUCGUAUACAUGCCCAAGACAGAGAUGCCGUCAAGAAACUAAUCGUUAAUCUGAUGUUACAUUCACCAGAUUCGAUACAAAAGCAGUUGUCUGAUGCAGUAUCUAUUAUUGGAAAAUAUGACUUUCCGAACAAGUGGCCAGAAUUGAUUGAUCAGAUGGUAGAGAAGUUCAACACGCGAUUUUCAUGUGAUCAAUGGAGUCCUACACACGGCGCAUUCCUUAUUUAAGAGAUAUAGAUACGAAUUUAAAAGCGAGAGCCGCGGCAUCGGCAAAGGUUACAAUGAAUUUAACGCAAGUACAUGCUAAUAAUAUGGAAGCCUUGAAGGUUAUAUAUAAUUCCCUAGUUAUUUU